GAUGAACGCUGGCGGCGUGGAUUAGGCAUGCAAGUCGAACGGUAUCAUCCUUUCGGGGGUGAGAGAGUGGCGAACUGGUGAGUAACACGUAGGUUAUCUACCCUCAAGACGGGGACAACCCAGGGAAACUUGGGCUAAUACCGGAUGUGAGCAACUUUUAGUUGUUUGAAAGGUGGCGUAAGCUGUCGCUUGGGGAUGAGCUUGCGUCCUAUUAGCUAGUUGGUGAGGUAACGGCUCACCUAGGCAAUGAUAGGUAGGCGGCCUUAACGGGUGGUCGCCCACACUGGGAUUGAGAUACGGCCCAGACUCCUACGGGAGGCAGCAGUCGAGAAUAGUCUACAAUGGUCGGAAGACUGAUAGUGCGACGCCGCGUGAACGAUGAAUCCCUUCGGGGUGUAAAGUUCUUUUAUAUGUGAGCAGUGCUUCUUAUAUUAACAGUAUGGGGAGAGAGAUAUUAGCAUAUGAAUAAGCAACGGCUAACUCCGUG
rnacentral:rRNA from 1 species